rnacentral:rRNA from 1 species
UACAGAGGGUGCAAGCGUUAAUCGGAAUUACUGGGCGUAAAGCGCACGUAGGCGGUUUUUUAAGUCAGAUGUGAAAGCCCCGGGCUCAACCUGGGAAUUGCAUUUGAAACUGGGGAACUAGAGUGUGUGAGAGGGGGGUAGAAUUCCAAGUGUAGCGGUGAAAUGCGUAGAGAUUUGGAGGAAUACCAGUGGCGAAGGCGGCCCCCUGGCACAACACUGACGCUCAGGUGCAAAAGCGUGGGGAGCAAACAGG